GUGAUGGGUCGCUCCACCGCGGCGCUUUCGGGCGGCGAGGAAAGUCCGGGCAACACAGAGCACCCUGCUUCCUAACGGGAAGGAUGGGCCGUAAGGCUCAGACAGCCAGUGCCACAGAAAACUACCGCCAGAUGGCAACUGCGUAGAAGAGCAACUAAGUAGCGUAGUAAACUACCUUAUUCAGUCACUCAGCUACUCUGUAGCUCCUGGUAAGGGUGAAAAGGUGCGGUAAGAGCGCACCAGCGGCUAGGUGACUAGUCCGGCUGGGUAAACCUCAGGGGUUGAAAGACCAAAUAAGCGGGCAGGCAGGCUUUCGGGUCUGCACCGGGCGGCUCGUCCGGCGUCCGUGGGUAGGUUGAUGGAGCCUUUUCGCGAGAACUGGCCUAGAUAAAUGGUGGGGACGCGACCUAGGUCGCGGACAGAACCCGGCUUACAGACUCGUCACCCUC
rnacentral:RNase_P_RNA from 2 species